GGGUUGUGAGGUUAAGCGACUAAGCGUACACGGUGGAUGCCCUGGCAGUCAGAGGCGAUGAAGGRCGUGCUAAUCUGCGAUAAGCGCCGGUAAGGUGAUAUGAACCGUUAUAACCGGCGAUWYCCGAAUGGGGAAACCCAGUGUGAYUCGUCACACUAUCAUUAACUGAAUCCAUAGGUUAAUGAGGCGAACCGGGGGAACUGAAACAUCUAAGUACCCCGAGGAAAAGAAAUCAACCGAGAUUCCCCCAGUAGCGGCGAGCGAACGGGGAGGAGCCCAGAGCCUGAAUCAGCAUGUGUGUUAGUGGAAGCGUCUGGAAAGGCGCGCGAUACAGGGUGACAGCCCCGUACACAAAAGCGCA
rnacentral:rRNA from 1 species